rnacentral:rRNA from 1 species
UUGAGCGCUGGCGGCAGGCCUAACACAUGCAAGUCGAGCGGUAGAGAGAAGCUUGCUUCUCUUGAGAGCGGCGGACGGGUGAGUAAUGCCUAGGAAUCUGCCUGGUAGUGGGGGAUAACGUUCGGAAACGGACGCUAAUACCGCAUACGUCCUACGGGAGAAAGCAGGGGACCUUCGGGCCUUGCGCUAUCAGAUGAGCCUAGGUCGGAUUAGCUAGUUGGUGAGGUAAUGGCUAACCAAGGCGACGAUCCGUAACUGGUCUGCGAGGAUGAUCAGUCACACUGGAACUGAGACACGGUCCAGACUCCUACGGGAGGCAGCAGUGGGGAAUAUUGGACAAUGGGCGAAAGCCUGAUCCAGCCAUGCCGCGUGUGUGAAGAAGGUCUUCGGAUUGUAAAGCACUUUAAGUUGGGAGGAAGGGUUGUAGAUUAAUACUCUGCAAUUUUGACGUUACCGACAGAAUAAGCACCGGCUAACUCUGUGCCAGCCGCCGCCGUAA